AUGGGAUAUUUAAUCUGUUCUCUGAAGUGUCACAUUUUAUUUAAUAGCGUAAGAAAAAGUAGGAUGUCACUUGUAUUGUUACUGUUCAACCUUCGAAAACAUAUAGAGUGUAUUCAAAGGAUCUUGUACUAUUCUAAAGUUGUUGUGCUCCAUUGUUGUCUUCAGAAACUGUUACACUUUGUCACUAAGAUAACGAAGAGAUUGGACAUGCAUCACCUGGAAAAAGUGUAUGGCGUCAUUAUUCAGUGCAUUUACAAUCAUCGAGAAGACUACGACAAAACCGAUUUGGUGGAGGAAAUUAAGAAAGAAAUCUCAGCCUUCUGGUCCGACACGUAGUACAAUUUAGUCAAUAGUGUCUCAUAUAGGUAUAUAAAAUUUCAUAUAUAGGUUAUUUUAAGAUAUUUUAAACAAAUUUGUUUAUUUGACCUUUCUUCAAUAUACUUAAGUACUUUUAUUUGAUAUUUUUGUUCUGUAUCUGUAGCUCUCUAUUUAUUAUCCUAUACAUGCAUAUAUAUGUGUAUGUAUAUAGCAUGAUAAAUAGCAAGCUUGGCAGAAGGAAUGGAAUAUACAGAGUCUUCUGAAAUCACAGGACAUGACUUUCAUUUCCAUUACACAACACCUUAAUUUUCCAUCUUCUUUUUAUCGGAGCUACUGCUGACAGUGCCUGUGUAACACUGUAGAUUUGAACGUCUUUCGGAUACUGCCAAUACCUCUUUUUAAAAGAAAAUGACUGAAAACUGGAUAGACUUUUAACGGACUUUGUCAGCUCUUCAGAAUAUAUUUGUCUGAAGUAACCUGUGGUGCUCCGUAUUCCACUGGACGCUACAUAAAUGUCUUAAAAGAAACCUAUAUAUGAAAUGCAAAUCGUUCAGAAACCUCCUAUUGCAGUUUAGUGCAGGAGGUAUUUUUAUGUCCUAUAAAAACUUGUAAACCUCCUUGACCUUAGUGCAGGAGGUAUCUAUUUUUAUAAUUUACUGAUAGCACCUUAAAGGGCUUUCAUAGUAUUAACAUGCUAGAGAAAGUAUGUGGGAGAAACACUUUCCACAAACACAAGGUUUUUGCCUAUUAAAAGUAAACGACACAAACUGAAGCAAAGCAAGAUUUGCUUAUUGCAACUUUCUAGUGCAAAGCUAAGUCUUGCUUCUAACAAUGACAGUGUUGCUGAUACCAGAGAAUGCCAUUUUAAUACGAAAAACUAGUUACAAGAAAGCCUUAUAGUUGAAUAAAAUGUUUUCUACUGACCUGGAGAUAAUUAUA
rnacentral:lncRNA from 1 species